AUGCAUCAGUUACUAGUACUACCACGCUACUGCUGGCGCUCCCGAGCAAGACAGGGACAAAGCCAAGAGAGAGGCAUAAAGAGAAACCAACAAGACCACCCAGCGAGCCCGCCAAGGUUGUCAGAAGUCAAAGCCAACGUUUCUGCUGCUGGCGCUCCCGAGCAAUACAGGGAAGGACGGACUUUCAAGGUGUGCCCCAACCCUGAUGAGACCCAGCAUGCCCAUCUCGGCCGCGAACUUGGCGUGCAGCCCCAGCAGAUCAAAUUCUGGUUCAAGAACCGCCGUGUCCAGAUGAGGAGGUGUUUGGGGAUGACGGCAUGGCAGGCUUGGGACGAGCAGGUUGACAACCACUUAUCCGACUCGGAGAACGACGAGAUUCACUAA
rnacentral:rRNA from 1 species